UAGGGAAUCUUCCACAAUGGGCGAAAGCCUGAUGGAGCAACGCCGCGUGUGUGAUGAAGGGUUUCGGGCUCGUAAAACACUGUUGUAAGAGAAGAAUGACAUUGAGAGUAACUGUUCAAUGUGUGACGGUAUCUUACCAGAAAGGAACGGCUAAAUACGUGCCUG
rnacentral:rRNA from 1 species